UACAGAGGGUGCGAGCGUUAAUCGGAAUUACUGGGCGUAAAGCGCGCGUAGGCGGCUUUGCAAGUCGGGUGUGAAAUCCCCAGGCUUAACCUGGGAACUGCAUUCGAGACUGCAUUGCUAGAGUAUGGGAGAGGGAAGUGGAAUUCCGGGUGUAGCGGUGAAAUGCGUAGAUAUCCGGAGGAACACCGGUGGCGAAGGCGGCUUCCUGGACCGACACUGACGCUGAGGCACGAAGGUCAGGGGAGCAAACGGG
rnacentral:rRNA from 1 species